CGUAAACGACGACACCAGCGAUUAGUCGGUGUUAAUAUACGACCCGACUAGCAGCUUCCGGGAAACCAAAGUUUUUCGUUUCCGGGGGAAGUAUGGUUGCAAAGCUGAAACUUAAAGGAAUUGACGGAAGGGCACCACCAGGAGUGGAGCCUGCGGCUUAAUUUGACUCAACACGGGAAAACUCACCCGGCCCGGACACCGUAAGGAUUGACAGACUGAGAGCUCUUUCUUAAUUCGGUGGGUGGUGGUGCAUGGCCGUUCUUAGUUGGUGGAGCGAUUUGUCUGGUUAAUUCCGAUAACGAACGAGACUCUGGCCUAUUAAAUAGUCGGUAUAUCCAGAAAAGUUUACCGUACUUCUUAGAGGGACAAACGGCGUCUAGCCGCGUGAAAUAGAGCAAUAACAGGUCUGUGAUGCCCUUAGAUGUCCGGGGCUGCACGCGCGCUACACUGAAAGAAUCAGUAUGCGCUUUAACCUAGUCCGGAAGGAUUGGGUAACCCGAGCAAAUUCUUUCGUGCUUGGGAUAGGGAAUUGCAAUUAUUUCCCUUAAACGAGGAAUUCCCAGUAAAUGCGGGUCAUAAGCUCGCGUUGAUUACGUCCCUGCCCUUUGUACACACCGCCCGUCGCUACUACCGAUUGGAUGACUUAGUGAGGUCUUAGGACCGACGUAAAGGAGCUUUCGCGAGUUCUUUUUCGUUGGAAAUUUGAUCGAACUACGUUAUCUAGAGGAAGUAAAAGUCGUAACAAGGUUUCCGU
rnacentral:rRNA from 1 species